GUAACUAAGGAGGAAGCACUCAGGCCAAAGAGAGGGCAACCUCAGGCUGCCUGUUGCGGCUGCCAUUCUGAGCACGGGACACCUUCAUGGCCCUUUUCACUGCUGGCUCUCUCCGAUCAGACCAUCCCACAGUAGCCUCAGAAACAGCCUCACAGACCUAGUGUGUGUUUCCAUGGUGAUGCUAGGUGCCAUCAGGCUGGCCGUGAAGAUUCACCACAGCAAGGAGGUGCUAUGGAUAUUCCAAAGUUGACUUAAGGCACAUGAGAGGAGUUCGUAGGGUACACACAAACACCAGCCUCUUUACACCAGAGUCGUCCGAAUCUUCGGGGUCCUGGAAUCAGGACCUAGGAUCGAUUCUGAGGGACAGCUAUCCAUGAAAAAAAAAUUUUCCUCCCACUCCAUCACAACAACCAAAUCCCUGUCCCAAGCACAGGUGAUGUUAUUAACCAUCAAGUG
rnacentral:lncRNA from 1 species